rnacentral:rRNA from 1 species
AUUGAACGCUGGCGGCAUGCCUUACACAUGCAAGUCGAACGGCAGCACGGGAGCAAUCCUGGUGGCGAGUGGCGAACGGGUGAGUAAUAUAUCGGAACGUGCCCAGUCGUGGGGAUGACGUAGCGAAAGCUACGCUAAUACCGCAUACUAUCUAUGGAUGAAAGCGGGGGAUCGCAAGACCUCGCGCGAUUGGAGCGGCCGAUAUCAGAUUAGGUAGUUGGUGAGGUAAAGGCUCACCAAGCCGACGAUCUGUAGCUGGUCUGAGAGGACGACCAGCCACACUGGGACUGAGACACGGCCCAGACUCCUACGGGAGGCAGCAGUGGGGAAUUUUUGGACAAAUGGGCGCAAGCCUGAUCCAGCAAUGCCGCGUGUGUGAAG